UAAUUAAAACUUAUAGUCUUCUUAACCACAUCACUUACGUGUCAGCAUUUCCAAUUUUGUUGUCCAUGCGAAAAGAUACUUGAUAUCCAUGGCAUCCACCACCAUCGACAGUGACGCGCAAAACAGAGUUUUCUUCUGGUUUCCUUUCUGCAAUUUUUUCUAACUGUUUUUUCGCUGAAUCUUUCACGUAUAAAAUAAAAGGGAUUCCCUUCUCGUCACAUUGCUCUUGAAGCGUGAAUUGGUCGUUCGCAAGCUUUGAGCUAUAAAAUCGAUUUUUGAUUUUGAAUUCAUUAUUUAUUUUGGGAAAUAUUUCUUUCGUUAAUGUAUUCGAUUUCGCAUCAAUUCUACAUGAUCGAGAAUUUCUAAGCGAUCCAUGCGAUAGCUGUCGAAUUGCGAUCACAGGAUUUAAGAGUGUUUGAAAACAACGUUCUCGAAAGAAAAAUGGUCCUUUAAACAAUAAGUUUACUCGCGAUUUCAUAAGCAUCACUGCAAAGUAUUAUAGCCACAAGUUAGGACUUUCUAACUUGUAAACAUACAGUAACGUAAUAGAAGUCAAAUUGCCUACGCUCUGUUUCGUUAAUUCAGUAUAUUCCAAAUUGGUGCUUAUGUUUAUGAGAUAGAGAAGUUAAGUACAUAAAUGAAAUAGUCAUAACUUGACGAGUGUGUCAUAGACUAAAGUCAAAUUCAGGGAUUUACCUAUUAGUUAACACCCAAUCUCUAAGAGAUUUAUAUCGGAUAGAUUGAAUUCGAACUUACAAAACUCUCACACCCAUAGCUAGUAGAGAAUAAGGGGAAUUUAUCAAAUAUAUCUAGAAUUAUUUAAUGUUCUUUUUUACUUAUGUUGUAUGCUACUAAAUUUUGUGAUGAUUUAUAGUCAAAAUUAAUAUCUUUGGAUUAUUUUUACCUUUUGGUACUCCUACUCCUUUAAUUCUCUUUCAGUUUUAAAUGAAUAGAUUUUUAGCUAUUAGAGAUAAUUUCAACCCAUUUGGUUAAUUCUUCUUCUGGAUAUUUAUUGUCGAUCCUUUAAUUCUAGCAUAGACCGGUGGAUCACAUCCAGAAAAUGUCUUUAUCACAAUUGAUGCCAUUGCUACAAUCUUCUACUUUAGCUAAUUCUUUAUCGUGAUACCAGUGUAUGUACUACCGCUUAAUUACUAUAAAGUUGCGGGUGUUCGUACAAGCACAUAUCACCGCAAUUGUAAUAUUGAAUCAGGUAUAAGAGAUCUUGGCUAUUAGACUUAGAAUUGGUUGUAUCUGCAAUAAAAAAAAUAAAUUA